GUGCUGGCUUCAGCGCACAUAAACUAAAAUGGGAAUGAUGUAGAAAUUGGCAUGGCCCCUGCCCAAGGAUGACUGACAAAUUCAUGAAGCCUUCCUCAGGAAA